rfam:Canis lupus familiaris chromosome 10, whole genome shotgun sequence.
GUUUGCUUCAGCUGCGCAUAUACUAAAAUUGGAAUGAUACAGAGAUUUGUAUAGCCCCUAUGUAAGGAUGGCACACAAAUUCAUGAAGUAGCUCCUAUUUUU